rnacentral:rRNA from 1 species
GAUGAACGCUGGCGGCGUGCCUAAUACAUGCAAGUCGAGCGAACAGACGAGGAGCUUGCUCCUCUGACGUUAGCGGCGGACGGGUGAGUAACACGUGGAUAACCUACCUAUAAGACUGGGAUAACUUCGGGAAACCGGAGCUAAUACCGGAUAAUAUAUUGAACCGCAUGGUUCAAUAGUGAAAGACGGUUUUGCUGUCACUUAUAGAUGGAUCCGCGCCGCAUUAGCUAGUUGGUAAGGUAACGGCUUACCAAGGCAACGAUGCGUAGCCGACCUGAGAGGUGGAUAGGCCACACGGGAACUGAGACACGGUCCAGACUCCUACGGGAGGCAGCAGUAGGGAAUCUUCCGCAAUGGGCGAAAGCUUGACGGAGCAACGCCGCGUGAGUGAUGAAGGUCUUCGGAUCGUAAAACUCUGUUAUUAGGGAAGAACAAAUGUGUAAGUAACUAUGCACGUCUUGACGGUACCUAAUCAGAAAGCCACGGCUAACUACGUG